rnacentral:rRNA from 1 species
AACGAACGCUGGCGGCAGGCCUAACACAUGCAAGUCGAACGCUCCGCAAGGGGAGUGGCGCACGGGUGAGUAACACGUGGGAACCUACCUUCUGGUACGGAACAACCAAGGGAAACUUUGGCUAAGACCGUAUACGACCUCCGGGUGAAAGAUUGAUCGCCGGAAGAGGGGCCCGCGUCCGAUUAGGUAGUUGGUGAGGUAACGGCUCACCAAGCCUUCGAUCGGUAGCUGGUCUGAGAGGAUGACCAGCCACACUGGGACUGAGACACGGCCCAGACUCCUACGGGAGGCAGCAGUGGGGAAUAUUGGACAAUGGGCGCAAGCCUGAUCCAGCCAUGCCGCGUGAGUGACGAAGGUCUUCGGAUUGUAAAACUCUUUUGGCGGGACGAUAAUGACGGUACCCGUAGAAUAAGCCCCGGCUAACUUCGUGCCAGCAGCCGCCGUAAG